GGGUGAUUAGCUCAGCUGGGAGAGCACCUCCCUUACAAGGAGGGGGUCGGCGGUUCGAUCCCGUCAUCACCC
rnacentral:tRNA from 96 species